rnacentral:rRNA from 1 species
UCCGUAGGUGAACCUGCGGAAGGAUCAUUCACGCAAACAAUUUACCACGUCGACCGUCACCUUCUGCGGAAGGUGGCACAUCUCAUACGUUAUUGGAAGCCGUUACGAGACUACUCCGGCUCCUCUAUUAUAGCAAACCUAAUCAUAAGCUCAUGACGAUUGAUGCCUUGGUUCGGAAAUCGAUGAAGGACGCAGCAAAGUGCGAUAAGCACUGUGACUUGCAGAAUUCAGCGAAUCAGCAGAUUUCUCAACGCAAAAGGUGCUAGGUAGACUUGUCUGCCUGGCAGGCACAAUUCAACGUCGUUCUAUUUGCAGUCAUGAAUUUUUGAGAGUUCGCUCAAUAAAAUCCUUGGCGCGCAUUUUUGUCAGGAUCAGAAAUGUGACUGACGGGUGAUCCGCUACCGUAAAUUGGCGGAUGGAUAUAACCCGCAUUACUUACUUGUAUUUAAUGCUUAGGGGAACAACCACCAUCGACUUGAAUUGUGCCAGACUACCCGCUGAAUUUAA